rnacentral:lncRNA from 10 species
AUUAAAAAUAGGUUAGCAAAGCAUGAGUAAAAAUAGUCAAUUUUCAAAUACUUUUCACAGCUCUCCGAGUCUGACAUAUUUCUCUGGCUAAAAGGGAAGAAACAUAUCGGCACUCAUGUUGGGAAGACCUUAGAACAGCAAAGUACUAAAACUUGCCAAACCAACUUCAAGUGGCUUUCUUGUUAGUGCAAUACACACUGCACUGAGUUCCUGAGCAUAAUAUUUCCACCCUUUCCCACGGAGUCUGCUUAAAUUUGAAGAUUUUUUUUCUAGUAGGUGUAUUGUCCUUAAUUUUGGAGGAAGUUUUAAAAAGGUGGAUUAAUGUUAUAUAUGCUUCCGAGAAUAUUAUGCAACCAUGAAGCUUUGCACUUCAACAUAAAUGAAUCCCAAAAAGAGCCAGAUGAACUGUUGGCUGGGAGGCAGAGCCUUAGGAUGUUUCAAAUUCAUCGUGACUUCACAUAAAGGUCCUCUCUGGAGUAUGAAAGUCAAUUUUACAGGUGUAAAAUAAAGGAAAAGACGACAGUCUGAAAGUCAAACGAAAUUCCAGGACCACCUGUAUUUCAGUGAGGUCCACAACCUGGCAUUUAGUGGUAGGCCUGGAGCUGCUCUUGGUCAACAGUGUCAGAAGUUGGGAAGAAGAGCUGCAUAUCAAGCAGAAGAGAAUGAGAAGAAACAGGAACCCACUUCUGCAUCUGUCUAUAGCAACAUCUGACUAUAACGACCUUCAAAAGAUAAUGGCUGUUGCUUCAUUUCCAACCCUCCAAAUCUCAAGUAGCCUUGUGAUUACAUUGGGCUUACCCAGAUCCAGAUCAUCUAGGAUAAUCUCUCUACCCAAGAUCUUUAAUGUAAUCACACCUGCAAAGUCCCUUUUGGGAAGAAAGGUAAUAUAUUCAUAGUUUCUGGAGAUUAGGCCUUUCCAGGCAAAGAGGUGGAAAUCUUUGUGGGGCCAUUUUUCUGCCUCCUACACAAGGUAAAGGAUAUUAUGAGUGAAGCUGUGGUGAGCAUGCAUGAACAAGUCUCUUGCGAACAUAGGUUUUUAUUUCAUUUAGUGGUGGACGUGCUGAGCUGGACAGUAAAUAUGUUUAGCUUUAUGAUAAACUGCCAAAUAGUUUUCCAAAAUGGUUGCUCCAUGUUACAUGCUCACUAACACUAUUUGACAUUUCAUUGACUCCUUAUCUUUUUCAAUACUCAAUAUUGUCAAACUUUCAAAUUUUAGCCAUUUAGUGGGUAAGGAGUAGUGUCUCAACUGUGGUUUUAAUUUGUAUUUUCUUGAUGACUAAUAUGUUGAGCAUCUUUUCCCAUGAUAACUGAUUACACAUAUAUAUUUUUGUGUGAAGUAUGUGUUCAACAUUUAUGCCCAUUUUCAUUGUUUUUUGUUGUCUUGUUAAACUGUAAGAAUGUGUGUGUGUGUGUGUGUGUGUGUGUGUGUGUGUAACAAGUGUUUUUUUAGAUAUAUAUUUUUUGAAUAUUGCCUCAAAGUCUUGGGCUUCUCUUUUUCUUAACUGAAUAUCUUUCUAUGAGCAAAACUUUAAACAUUUGGUGUAAUUUUUCAUUUUUUUCUAUUAUUGUGAGUAUAGUGCGUAGCAUACCAUCAUGAUGAUGAUUUUUUCCUAUCCUCCCACAAUCUGUUUUGUAUUUUAGCUUUUACAUUUAGUCCUGUGAUCCAUUCUGAGUCAGUUUUUGUGUACGGCCUGAUGUAAGGGUGAAGGCCCAUUUCUUUUCCAUAGUAAUACCCAGUUGUUUCAGUACUAUUUAUUGAAAUUACUGUAUUUCUCUUAUUGAUAUGCAUUGGCAACUCUGUAGAAAAUUAAUUAUAUUAUUGUACUUAGCAUUUUAAUAAUAUUUUAAAUCCUUUUGUUAAGUAUGUAUUGCUUAUAUUUUCUCUUUAUAUGUUUCUUUUGACUGUCUUUCUAAUACAUACCUAUUUAAUAAACAUGUCAAAA